CAGUCGCCGCGGUAAUACGUAGGGUGCAAGCGUUAAUCGGAAUUACUGGGCGUAAAGCGUGCGCAGGCGGUUAUAUAAGACAGAUGUGAAAUCCCCGGGCUCAACCUGGGAACUGCAUUUGUGACUGUAUAGCUAGAGUACGGCAGAGGGGGAUGGAAUUCCGCGUGUAGCAGUGAAAUGCGUAGAUAUGCGGAGGAACACCGAUGGCGAAGGCAGCCCCCUGGGCCAAUACUGACGCUCAUGCACGAAAGCGUGGGGAGCAAACAGGAUUAGAUACCCCUGUAGUCCCUGUCUCUUAUAC
rnacentral:rRNA from 1 species